AUACUAACCUGGCAGGGGAGAUGCUAAGAUCACAAAGGUGGUUUUUCCAGGGCGAGGCUUACCCAUUGCACUCCGGAUGUGCCGAGCCCCGUGAUUUCCCCAAAUGCGGGAAACUUGACUGCAUAAUUCGUGCUAGUGGGGGACUGCGUUCGUGCUCUCCCCUG
rnacentral:snRNA from 1 species